CGGCCGCCACCCCGUCUGGGAAGUGAGGAGCGUCUCUGCCCGGCUGCCCAGUCUGGGAAGUGAGGAGCGCCUCUUCCUGGCCGCCAUCCCAUCUGGGAAGUGAGGAGCCUCUCUGCCCGGCCGCCCAUCAUCUGAGAUGUGGGGAGCGCCUCUGACCCGUCGCCUCGUCUGGGAUGUGAGGAGCGCCUCUGCCCGGCCGCGACCCCGUCUGGGAACUGAGGAAUGUCUCUGCCUGACCGCCACCCAGUCUGGGAGGUGAGGAGCGUCUCUGCCCGGCCGCCCCGUCUGAGAAGUGAGGAGCCCCUCCGCCUGGCAGCCGCCCGAUCUGGGAAGUAAGGAGCCCCUCCGCCCAGCAGCCGCCC
rnacentral:lncRNA from 1 species